GUGUUUCAAACAACAAUGACACUUGUUUUGAAGAUAAUUAAGAAACUCUGAAUACCAUGGUUUGAAUAAUGCUGGUGGAUCCCUUGAACAUGCCUUCAUUGAGAAGCUUCUGUUAUGGGUGUUUUAUGAAUGUCCAAAAGGGGCAACAACAUAAUCUUUUAUCUCUCUUGUUGAAGCACUGAAGAUGAGUGAUGCAAGAGUAUUAUUGUUGAAUCCACCUGAGUCGCUUGUUGACUGUUUUAACUGGUCACCUCACCAAAAGUUACCGGUUGGUUGGUUAAACUUGGAAUAGAAUGUCACCAAAACUCUAUGAUUCUUGGAUGGAACAGGUGUCUACGCUAUUUAUAUUUAAUGACUGGUUUUCCACUAUUCACAGUGGAAGUGGACAGAGGGUUUCUCUUUGCCAGUUUAAUUCCACCAUUUGUUUCCCAAUUUCAGAAUGUUGAGUUUGUGUUUGUAGGAGCUGUCAUCACAUGUUAUGGGAAAGACAGAGAAGAAAAUUUCUUUUACCAAAUAAUAUUCAUAUUAAUUCUAAGUGGGGAUCCAGAAAUAGCAAAAUACUUUCAUUUCUUAUUCCAGAUCAGGGACCUGUCACAUGUUAUGGAAAAGUCAGAGAAGAAAUUUUGUUUAUAUUUACUGCUGCUGUUAUACUUUUUCAGCAAGAUGCCAAGGAGUUGGUUCACGUUAUGAGAUGUUGGCAGAAUUGUCGAGAAGAGAGGGAGAUGCAAACAUAAAACCUGAUCCGGAUAUCGAUGUCUUCAUGAAGGCUGCUGCUACUGAAGGUUAAGAAGGUAGCGUAGUCACAGAUUAUACUCUCAAGCUAUUGGGAUUUGGAACAUCUCAUCUCUUUUGAAGGACAGGGUUAGGAAAAUUGAAGGAAACCCUGAUUUCUGUUGCUUCAUCUGUCAACAAAAUACUGUAAAUCAAGGUGAAUUACCACAUAUAUUAUAUAUUAUAUAUUAUAUACCAGGUUUGUUGUGUAUAGAUGUUUUUGUUUUGAGAAUAUUUCACUAUCUGUUUUGCUGAUGCGUUUUAUUUUGGUGGAUAACAUGCUGCAUGCUGCUCCACUUCAUUUCCCUGCUUCAUCUCUCAACAAAAAACUGUAAAUCAAGAUAUUGUUCAAGAAUCUUGAUUUGGACAUGAAGGCAGUUACUCCUUUUCUCUGCUGUUCCUUUGGUUGAAGAUAUGAAUAUGCUUUUUAUUUUUUCUGUUUUCAUUGCAACUGCCAACUAGAUAAUUAAAAACUGUUUGCUGAAAAACUUAUUGAUCCUUUACUUUUGCAGGGUGCUUCCAAUGGUAAUGGAUAAGGCAAGGGUAUUAAAGAUAUAUAUAUUGUCCAGAAGAGUGUUUCACUAGCAAUAAUGGCACUUGUUUUAAAGAUAAUUAAGAAACUCUCAAUACCAUGGUUUGAAUAAUGCAAGUGAAUCCCUUAAACAUGCCAUGCAACGUGUUAUUGAUGACAACCUUGAGUUGGGAUGUGCAUCAAUUGAGAAGCUUCUGUUAUGGGUGUUUUAUGAAUGUCCAAAAGCUAUGGUUUUAACUAUUAUAUCAACACAGGGGCAACAACAUAAUCUUUUAUCUCUCUUGUUGAAACACUGAAGAUGAGUGAUGCAAGAGUAGUAUUCUCUGCUCUUCACAAUGUCAUUCAGACUUUAUCCAAUUGCUAGAAUCCACCUGAUUCGCUUGUUGACCGGUUUAACUGGUAACUUUUUGGUGACAUGGUGUAUGGUUGGUAUGCAUUUGAUGACGUGUCAAAUACAUGCCAUGCCACCUCACCAAAACUUACCGGUUGGUUAAACUGGGAAUAGAGCAUUUUUUCAGUGGAACCAAAACUCAAUGAAUAAGUGUCCAUGCCAUUUAAUGACUGGUUUUCCACUUUUCACAGCGGAAGUGGACAGAUGGUUUCUCUUUGCCAGUUUAAUUCCACCAUUUGUUUCUCAAUUUCAGAAUGUUGAGGAUGUUGCCACCUGAAACCAUGGUGGGCCCCUUCAAACCCCAACCUCAUCUGGAAACCAACAUCUCCAAAAGUUAAUUUCUUGAAACCAAUUACAUCAAUAUUUAUCCGAAUAUAUAGAAACCAAUUUUGAUAAGACUUGUUAGUUUUAUAUUCAAGAAAAAAGAUUGCACUAUUGCAUUGUGUUUUCAGUUUUUCCUUUAUUAAAGUUAUGCUUCCAGAACUCUUAUUUAUUACAACAUUUUAAUUUAGAAAAGUUUAUCCAUUACAUUGAUUAUGUACGGCUUUUGACUUAUGUUUUGUGGUAUGUGUUUGUAUGAGCUGUCAUCACAUGUUAUGGGAAAGACAGAGAAGAAAUUUUCUUUUACCAAUUAUAUUCAUAUUAAGUCCAAGUGGGGAUCCAGAAAUAGUAAAUUGCUUUCAUUUCAUACUCCAGCCUCUCACCCCAAAUAUCAACUUAUACGCUCCAACCCCACUGAAGAGAAGACUUGAAAUAUUCUUUGGUUUGAUCUCAGCUAAUCGAACGUCCAGAAUCUUGAAGCAAAGCA